rnacentral:rRNA from 1 species
GAUGAACGCUGGCGGCGUGCCUAAUACAUGCCAGUCGAGCGAACGGACGAGAAGCUUGCUUUUCUGAUGUUAGCGGCGGACGGGUGAGUAACACGUGGAUAACCUACCUAUAAGACUGGGAUAACUUCGGGAAACCGGAGCUAAUACCGGAUAAUAUUUUGAACCGCAUGGUUCAAAAGUGAAAGACGGUCUUGCUGUCACUUAUAGAUGGAUCCGCGCUGCAUUAGCUAGUUGGUAAGGUAACGGCUUACCAAGGCAACGAUGCAUAGCCGACCUGAGAGGGUGAUCGGCCACACUGGAACUGAGGCACGGUCCAGACUCCUACGGGAGGCAGCAGUAGGGAAUCUUCCGCAAUGGGCGAAAGCCUGACGGAGCAACGCCGCGUGAGUGAUGAAGGUCUUCGGAUCGUAAAACUCUGUUAUUAGGGAGAACAUAUGUGUAAGUAACUGUGCACAUCUUGACGGUACCUAAUCAGAAAGCCACGGCUAACUACGUG